CCGCCCGGCGCUGAGGAGAAGCCUGCAGGACGUAGCGGUGGCCCCGGGGCCGCCGUUGGGCCGGCUGUUUAUAAACACGUUUCUGUGAAAAAAAUCCUGUUAGAGCUCAUCUUACGUGCUGCUGCGCCCUCUGUGUCUUGGACCCUGCUGACCGCGGCGGCGAGAUUCCUGCUUUGGGAUGAAAACUUGGAUUCCCGCUCACUCUGACGCAGAUUUCGGUUGUGUCUGUAAAGGAAAGAUGAAUAUGAGAUCACAUUUUGCUCUGCAGUAUUUCCAACUGUGACCAGAAGUCACACACAGACCUUAAAACUAGGACUGAAAAACAAACAGAAAAAGAAAACAAACAAAACAAAAACAACAAACAAACAAACAAAAAAAAGCACUGAAUAAACAGUUAUUUUAGUAGCUUUUUUUUUUCUUGAAAAGUUUGGCAAUUCU